GGGUUGUGAGGUUAAGCGACUAAGCGUACACGGUGGAUGCCCUGGCAGUCAGAGGCGAUGAAGGACGUGCUAAUCUGCGAUAAGCGUCGGUGAGGUGAUAUGAACCGUUAUAACCGGCGAUUUCCGAAUGGGGAAACCCAGUGUGUUUCGACACACUAUCAUUAACUGAAUCCAUAGGUUAAUGAGGCGAACCGGGGGAACUGAAACAUCUAAGUACCCCGAGGAAAAGAAAUCAACCGAGAUUCCCCCAGUAGCGGCGAGCGAACGGGGAGGAGCCCAGAGCCUGAAUCAGUGUGUGUGUUAGUGGAAGCGUCUGGAAAGGCGUGCGAUACAGGGUGACAGCCCCGUACACAAAAAUGCACAUAUUGUGAGCUCGAUGAGUAGGGCGGGACACGUGGUAUCCUGUCUGAAUAUGGGGGGACCAUCCUCCAAGGCUAAAUACUCCUGACUGACCGAUAGUGAACCAGUACCGUGAGGGAAAGGCGAAAAGAACCCCGGCGAGGGGAGUGAAAAAGAACCUGAAACCGUGUACGUACAAGCAGUGGGAGCCUCUUAAUGGGGUGACUGCGUACCUUUUGUAUAAUGGGUCAGCGACUUAUAUUCUGUAGCAAGGUUAACCGAAUAGGGGAGCCGAAGGGAAACCGAGUCUUAACUGGGCGUUAAGUUGCAGGGUAUAGACCCGAAACCCGGUGAUCUAGCCAUGGGCAGGUUGAAGGUUGGGUAACACUAACUGGAGGACCGAACCGACUAAUGUUGAAAAAUUAGCGGAUGACUUGUGGCUGGGGGUGAAAGGCCAAUCAAACCGGGAGAUAGCUGGUUCUCCCCGAAAGCUAUUUAGGUAGCGCCUCGUGAAUUCAUCUCCGGGGGUAGAGCACUGUUUCGGCAAGGGGGUCAUCCCGACUUACCAACCCGAUGCAAACUGCGAAUACCGGAGAAUGUUAUCACGGGAGACACACGGCGGGUGCUAACGUCCGUCGUGAAGAGGGAAACAACCCAGACCGCCAGCUAAGGUCCCAAAGUCAUGGUUAAGUGGGAAACGAUGUGGGAAGGCCCAGACAGCCAGGAUGUUGGCUUAGAAGCAGCCAUCAUUUAAAGAAAGCGUAAUAGCUCACUGGUCGAGUCGGCCUGCGCGGAAGAUGUAACGGGGCUAAACCAUGCACCGAAGCUGCGGCAGCGACACUUAUGUGUUGUUGGGUAGGGGAGCGUUCUGUAAGCCUGCGAAGGUGUGCUGUGAGGGUUGCUGGAGGUAUCAGAAGUGCGAAUGCUGACAUAAGUAACGAUAAAGCGGGUGAAAAGCCCGCUCGCCGGAAGACCAAGGGUUCCUGUCCAACGUUAAUCGGGGCAGGGUGAGUCGACCCCUAAGGCGAGGCCGAAAGGCGUAGUCGAUGGGAAACAGGUUAAUAUUCCUGUACUUGGUGUUACUGCGAAGGGGGGACGGAGAAGGCUAUGUUGGCCGGGCGACGGUUGUCCCGGUUUAAGCGUGUAGGCUGGUUUUCCAGGCAAAUCCGGAAAACCAAGGCUGAGGCGUGAUGACGAGGCACUACGGUGCUGAAGCGACAAAUGCCCUGCUUCCAGGAAAAGCCUCUAAGCAUCAGGUAACAUCAAAUCGUACCCCAAACCGACACAGGUGGUCAGGUAGAGAAUACCAAGGCGCUUGAGAGAACUCGGGUGAAGGAACUAGGCAAAAUGGUGCCAGUAACUUCGGGAGAAGGCACAGCUGAUAUGUAGGUGAAGCGACUUGCUCGUGGAGCUGAAAUCAGUCGAAGAUACCAGCUGGCUGCAACUGUUUAUUAAAAACACAGCACUGUGCAAACACGAAAGUGGACGUAUACGGUGUGACGCCUGCCCGGUGCCGGAAGGUUAAUUGAUGGGGUUAGCGGUAACGCGAAGCUCUUGAUCGAAGCCCCGGUAAACGGCGGCCGUAACUAUAACGGUCCUAAGGUAGCGAAAUUCCUUGUCGGGUAAGUUCCGACCUGCACGAAUGGCGUAAUGAUGGCCAGGCUGUCUCCACCCGAGACUCAGUGAAAUUGAACUCGCUGUGAAGAUGCAGUGUACCCGCGGCAAGACGGAAAGACCCCGUGAACCUUUACUAUAGCUUGACACUGAACAUUGAGCCUUGAUGUGUAGGAUAGAGCUGGGUUUAGAACGUCGUGAGACAGUUCGGUCCCUAUCUGCCGUGGGCGCUGGAGAACUGAGGGGGGCUGCUCCUAGUACGAGAGGACCGGAGUGGACGCAUCACUGGUGUUCGGGUUGUCAUGCCAAUGGCACUGCCCGGUAGCUAAAUGCGGAAGAGAUAAGUGCUGAAAGCAUCUAAGCACGAAACUUGCCCCGAGAUGAGUUCUCCCUGACUCCUUGAGGGUCCUGAAGGAACGUUGAAGACGACGACGUUGAUAGGCCGGGUGUGUAAGCGCAGCGAUGCGUUGAGCUAACCGGUACUAAUGAACCGUGAGGCUUAACCUUACAACGCCGAAG
rnacentral:rRNA from 1 species